CUCACAACCGACAUGUUUCAUCAAUGUAAAUCCUGCCGAGUCUUUUCAUGGUCUCCUAUUUUUAACAGUUAGCAACUUUGCUUGUAGAAAAAGCCCAAAAAAGAAGCUGUAAUACGAGACUAGCCACCAAGAGCCUAUGGUGAUGACUUCCAAACAGCUAGCCUACAGGACGCGAAAAAGGCCGGUUCUGUGAAGGGGGAUUGGUGCAGACUGCGCAGAAGGACUCCUCAUACUCCAGUCGGUGCCCACAUGCUGGUGCCGGGGCCAAGAGGAGGCGUCCUGCGGAGAGUCUUACUCAGCACGGUGUCAUGGCCGCCACGACACCUGAUAAGCAUUAAGUACAGGCUGUGAUACCUAAGUGUUAUUAUUGUUGUUUAUUUAUUCUACGUGCCCUCAGUGUUGCACAGUCUCUGCAGCGUGUGUGCAGAUGUCUUUAAGGUGAUUUAAAUCAGACAAUAAGCUGAACUCUACACAAAAUAACUUCCAGUGUUUUUGGAGCUCCUGGCAAAUAUU